UGCCAGCCGCCGCGGUAAUACGGGGGGAGCAAGCGUUGUCCGGAAUCAUUGGGCGUAAAGGGUGCGUAGGCGGGCUAUUAAGUCUGAUGUGAAAGCCCCGGGCUCAACCCCGGAAGUGCAUUGGAAACUGGCGAACUUGAGUACGGGAGAGGAAAGUGGAAUUCCGAGUGUAGGGGUGAAAUCCGUAGAUAUUCGGAGGAACACCAGUGGCGAAGGCGGCUUUCUGGACCGAUACUGACGCUGAGACGCGAAAGCGUGGGGAGCAAACAGGAUUCGAUA
rnacentral:rRNA from 1 species